GGGGUGUGCUCAUAGCAGGGGACGUAAAGAUAUGGCUCCCGUGUUUACAACACACCCAACAAGAAUCUGGGUUCAUUGUGACAAGGGGCACAAAACUUGUGGCCUUCCUACAAACAGAUAGCCUACACAU
ensembl:snoRNA